AUGCCAGGUUUAGAAGGAAGUAUUUCGCUCGAUACGAGUCCACCCACGCACGGCCUAAUGUCCGAUGGAAUCGCUUCUGAACAAGUAAAAAAAUUUCUCUUCCGAUCGCGAAAAAUACACGAGAGUGUACAGAACGACGAAAGUUUAGAAAUUUAUAUACCAGAGUUACUGCAAGCAAAUUACAGUUAUUACACUUGGCCUUCUGCACCGGUUCUUGCCUGGUUUUUGUGGGAGCAUAGAGAGGAGCUCAUCGGAAAGAGAGUUUUAGAAUUGGGUUCUGGUACUGCUCUUCCUGGUAUUUUGGCCAGUAAAUGUGGCGCUGUUGUAACUUUAAGCGACUCUGCCAAUUUGCCAAGAAGCUUGCAACAUAUUAAAAGGAGCUGCGAAUUAAAUGGCAUUUUAUCUCAAGUUAGAAUAGUCGGAAUUACCUGGGGUUUAUUUCUCUCCAGUUUAUUUACCAUUGGUCCAUUGGAUUUAAUUCUUGGAUCUGACUGUUUUUAUGAACCAACUUUAUUCGAAGAUAUUGUUGUCACCGUAGCCUUUCUAUUAGAAAAGAAUCCAAAUGCAAAAUUUCUAUGUACUUACCAAGAGCGUAGCGCCGAUUGGUCUAUUGAACAUUUAUUAACCAAGUGGGGUCUUACAUGUAAUCAAAUAUCACUUUCUACUCUUGGUACAGAUUCUGAUAUUAAUAUACAUGAAUUGAUGCAAGAUCACACUAUCCACCUGCUAGAUAUACAAAAAGCUACUUGAGUUAUUUUCUAAUAUCAUGGGUAAUGUACGUAAAAUAUAUAAGAUAUUUGUUUAUAACUUGCCAUGGACUGAAAACGGGGCUUAGUAAGGGAUACGGCUUUAUCCAAUUUAUUGAUAAAUCAGCAUAUGAUAAAGUAUUACAGCAACCGCACCAUAUGAUAGAUGAUUACAUUGUAAAAGUGAAAGAAUACAAAUUUUGAUUAAAAGAAA